rnacentral:rRNA from 1 species
AGAGUUUGAUCAUGGCUCANAAUCNACGCUGGCGGCGUGCCUCAGACAUGCAAGUCGAACGCGAAAGUUCCCUUCGGGGAACGAGUAGAGUGGCGCACGGGUGAGUAACACGUAGGUAAUCUACCUUCGGAUGGGGAAUAACAACCGGAAACGGUUGCUAAUACCGCAUAAUGCAGCGGCACCUAAUGGUGACAGUUGUUAAAGCGGGGGAUCGUAAGACCUCGCGUCUGAAGAGGAGCCUGCGGCAGAUUAGCUAGUUGGUAAGGUAACGGCUUACCAAGGCGAUGAUCUGUAGCCGGCCUGAGAGGGCGGUCGGCCACACUGACACUGACAUACGGGUCAGACUCCUACGGGAGGCAGCAGUCGGGAAUUUUGGGCAAUGGGCGAAAGCCUGACCCAGCAACGCCGCGUGAAGGAUGAAAUCCUUCGGGAUGUAAACUUCGCAAGAACGGGAAGAAUAAACCGGUGUUAACACCACCGGCGAUGACGGUACUGUUUGUAAGCUCCGGCUAACUCCGUGCCAGCAGCCGCGGUAAUACGGGGGGAGCAAGCGUUGUUCGGAUUUACUGGGCGUAAAGGGCGGGNAGGCGGCCACUGCAAGUCGGUUGUGAAAUCUCCGGGCUUAACUCGGAAAGGUCAAUCGAUACUGCAGGGCUAGAGUGCAGAAGGGGCAACUGGAAUUCUCGGUGUAGCGGUGAAAUGCGUAGAUAUCGAGAGGAACACCUGCGGCGAAGGCGGGUUGCUGGGCUGACACUGACGCUGAACUGCGAAAGCUAGGGGAGCGAACGGGAUUAGAUACCCCGGUAGUCCUAGCCUUAAACGAUGAAUGCUUGGUGUCUGGGGUUUUAUAGUCCCCGGGUGCCGUCGCUAACGCUUUAAGCAUUCCGCCU